UGGGGAAUAUUGCACAAUGGGCGCAAGCCUGAUGCAGCCAUGCCGCGUGUGUGAAGAAGGCCUUCGAGUUGUAAAGCACUUUCAGCGAGGAGGAAGGUGGUGAACUUAAUACGUUCAUCAAUUGACGUUACUCGCAGAAGAAGCACCGGCUAACUCCGUGCCAGCAGCCGCGGUAAUACGGAGGGUGCAAGCGUUAAUCGGAAUUACUGGGCGUAAAGCGCACGCAGGCGGUUUGUUAAGUCAGAUGUGAAAUCCCCGGGCUCAACCUGGGAACUGCAUUUGAAACUGGCAAGCUANAGUCUCGUAGAGGGGGGUAGAAUUCCAGGUGUAGCGGUGAAAUGCGUAGAGAUCUGGAGGAAUACCGGUGGCGAAGGCGGCCCCCUGANGAAGACUGGCGCUCAGGUGCGAAAGCGUGGGGAGCAAACAGGAUUAGAGUACCCUGGUAGUCCACGCUGUAAACGAUGUCGAUUUGGAGGUUGUGCCCUUGAGGCGUGGCUUCCGGAGCUAACGCGUUAAAUCGACCGCCUGGGGAGUACGGCCGCAAGGUUAAAACUCAAAUGAAUUGACGG
rnacentral:rRNA from 1 species